rnacentral:rRNA from 1 species
GGCCUAACGGCUGAACCAGCAACUUGGGGGAAUGGAUAUAUAUAUUAGAGAUAAUAUAUAGUACCGACUCUGUCGGAUAAAGUUCUAGAUAGAAUAAUGAUAAUGACAAUUUUCUAUCUAUAUGUCUUGACCAAAUCUUGUGCCAGCAGUCGCGGCAACACAAGGGAGACUAGUGUUAUUCAUACUUAUUAGGUUUUAGGUUUAAAGGGUACCUAGACGGUAUAUCAAGCCCCAAAAGGGUACGGAUAUACUAGAGUUUUAUGUGAGAGGCAAAUAUAGUACUAUUGGUGUAGAGAUAAAAUUCAUUGAUACCUCUAGGCACGGGUAACGGCGAAGGCAAUCCUCUAUGUAAAAACUGACGUUGAGGGACGAAGGCUUGGGGAGCGAAUAGGAUUAGAUACCCUAGUAGUCCAGGCAGACAAUUAUGAAUGUCAUAGAUUAGAAAUACUUUUUGAUCUAUAAAUGAAAGGUGUAAGCAUUCCACCCUCAAGAGUAAUGUGGCAACGCAGGAACUGAAAUCAUUAGACCGUUUCUGAAACCAGUAGUGAAGUAUGUUAUUUAAUUCGAUGAUCCCUCGAAAAACCUUACCACAAUUUGAAUGUUAAUUAAUAAAUUAACACAGGCGUUGCAUGGCUGUCUUCAGUUAAUGUCGUGAGAUUUGGUUAGAUCCAAAAAAUUAUCGUAAACCCUUGUUCUUUAUUUGUUUGAAUAAUGCAGUUAACCGCUAUAUUGGAUUAUAUAAC